AUGUCUACGUUACGUCUCUCUCCUUCACGCUAUGAUCGGAACAUUAUAAGUCGUUUGGACCAAGCUGAACGAAAACGACUGAAUGCAGAAGCCAACAAUGUAGAUGAAACGGAGGAUUUUUUAUCGAAUGUAUUCUUAACAAAAGGGCCACCGGAUAAACUAGAUGCUCCUCCACGGAAGCUCAGAUUCCUGGCAAUAUUUGGUCUGACUACUUUAGCAAAACGUGAUGGAACCCGAAGUACCCGAAAUAGGAGUCGUAGCUGGAGAAGGGGUACGUCGCAUACUUCUGCUGUAGACCCUCCAUGAUGAUGUCCUUCGCGAUGGGCAGCAUACCCAUGAUGACCGCUUUCUGCAUGACCGCCUCGGCCCUCAAGGCCGUGUUCAACGCGUUCUUCAAGAAGUAGGCCAUCUGGUCGUAGUACCCAUACUUGAACGCCUGCACGAGGGGGCUGUCGUAGCCGUCGAUCAGGAGCAUGACCUUGGACUUGCAAUGGUCCUUCAGGUUCUCCAUCAAAUCCACGAUUGCGAACGCCGUUUCAGACUCUGUGCCGUUACCUGCCAAGUUGAAUAUUAACAAAAUUAUGAUUGAAAAAGACACUUGUGUACUAACGUGUGAGAGUCGCCAAUGCAUGUUUAAAAUGUCAUUAUAAAUUGAUGAAAAUAUAUAUUUUUUAUAUGUAUUUAUGAUUUUUAUUUUCAAAACCGCCUUCCGCCUUCCGCCUUCCGCCUUAUUCCGCUCAAGAGAUGGGCACAAAGCUGGCUUUCUUCUCCUGAGGAUGAUUGAAGAUAUUGUGCUGUUUUUAUUGAUUUGACACGUCUUUUAUUUUUAAAGAAUUUCAAAUUUUUAUUAUUUAUAUAGUUUAUUGUGCUCGGUAUGGAUGGCCUGAAAAACAGG
rnacentral:lncRNA from 1 species